GGGGUUGUGGUUCAGUGGUAGAGCACUCACCUAGCAUGUGUGAGGCACUGGGUUCAAUCCUCAGCACCA
rnacentral:tRNA from 1 species